NNNNNNNNNNCGCGCAAGCGAGAAAGUUAAAAGAAUUGACGGAAGGGCACCACCAGGCGUGGAGCUUGCGGCUUAAUUUGACUCAACACGGGGAAACUCACUAGUUUAAGACAAGAGUAGGAUUGACAGAUUAAUAGCUCUUUCUUGAUUUCUUGGAUGGUGAUGCAUGGCCGUUUUUAGUUCGUGAAUAUGAUUUGUCUGGUUAAUUCCGAUAACGAACGAGAUCUUAACCUGCUAAUUAGCGGCGAGUACACUAUAUUCUUAUUUGAAAUUGAACAUAGGUAACUAUACAUUUAUUCAGUAAUCAAAUUAGGAUAUUUUUAUUAAAAUAUCCUUUUCCCUGUUCUACUAAUAAUUUGUUUUUUACUCUAUUUCUCUCUUCUUUUAAGAAUGUACUUGCUUGAUUGAAAAGCUUCUUAGAGGAACAUUGUGUGUCUAACACAAGGAAGUUUAAGGCAACAACAGGUCUGUGAUGUCCUUAGAUAAACUAGGCUGCACGCGUGCUACACUGAUAUAUAUAACGAGUUUUUAAAAAUAUGCUUAUAUUUGUAUCUUUGAUGCUUAUAUUUUGCAUACUUUUCCUCCGCCGAAAGGCGUAGGUAAUCUUUAUCAAUAUAUAUCGUGAUGGGGAUAGAUUAUUGCAAUUAUUAAUCUUGAACGAGGAAUGCCUAGUAAGCAUGAUUCAUCAGAUUGUGCUGACUACGUCCCUGCCCUUUGUACACACCGCCCGUCGCUCCUACCGAUUGAAAGAUAUGAUGAAUUGUUUGGACAAGAAAAAUUGAAUUAUAUUCUUUUUUUUCUGGAAAAACCGUAAAUCCUAUCUUUUAAAGGAAGGAGAAGUCGUAACAAGGUUUCCGUAGGUGAACCUGCGGAAG
rnacentral:ncRNA from 1 species